UAAAUAAUUUUAAUAAAAAUUCGUAUAAGCCUAAUAUAUGGAAGGGUGUCCCUACGGUUAACCAUAAAUUAACCAGCUACGAAAAAUGUUUUACUGUGU
rnacentral:ncRNA from 2 species